rnacentral:lncRNA from 1 species
GUACGACAAUAGUAGUACAAUUUUCUGUAUUAGCUGAUAAGAAUAUUUUGAGUUUGAUGUUUGCAUGGAAGUUGUGUUCAUCUUUUGUUUGAUGUUACUUGCUGUUUUGCUUUUGCUUUUGUUUUAUACAUUUGUACUUGUUCAUUAUUUAAUUCCUUUCCCUUUUUCCUUGUUAAAUUCCAUAGAAUAGGUUAGUAUUAGUUAGAAUAAGAUAGUUGAGUGUAGGUUGUUUGUUAUUUUGGGUAGAUUUCUUAGUUAAGGUAAUUGGUAAGUAUUUUAGAUUGUGCACAAAUACAAAAAUAGUGUUUCCAAAACAAUUUUUGUUUUAUGCAAAAGGGGGGGACUGUAAUAGGAUGAGGAAAUUUGCAAAAAGACUUUGCAAUGCAAACUUUCAAGUGAUUGACAGGAGCAUGUGAUGGAGAGUCACAUGAGAGCCUAAGGGUCAAGAUCUGGGUAAGUAUUCUAGGGUCCCAACAGAAACUUCCCUUCUCUCCUGAAGGACCUUGGAUUGGAGGUUUUACAUCAGGUUUCUGGCUUUUGUGAUACCAGCUGAAGAGAAAAGAAUCCUGCUUGGACUGGCUGCUGGCAGCUAGGACAGAGGAUUAAAAACUCACUUCUCCACUGGACCUGAUUUGGACAAUUUUCAUCUGAAGAUCCUGGCCCAUUGACUGGACUCCAUUUUAACAGCCUCUGUGUCCAGUCUCUGCUCUUGGAAGAGUUUGAAGUGGAAUGUUGGCCCUGCAACCUCUCAUGCAUCCAGCUUUGCAAAAUCCCUUUCCUACAGUAUUGAUUGUAAGAGAGAAGCAGCUUCAACUAUGAGAUUGGAAGAGGCAAUGGAAUGGAACAAAAAAGAGAGCAUAUCUUCAACAGAGGAAAAGUUGGAGACACUGGAAGCACAAAUUGAGGGAGAUUUCAACUCACACUCUUAUGCUGCUUAUUUAGCAUAAUAUGUUUACUGUUAAUGAAUGUUUAACAUUCUAGUCUGGUUAGGCCAGUCUAAUGAAUAUAACCGUCUUUAAACUGUAGAUCGCUUUCAAUGAAAAUGUGAUAACAUAGCAAGAUUAUACAUUUCAUAUCCUUAAAACAAAUAAUCUCACUUCUGGGCUUAUACUCAUGAGGAUGUCAAAGGCUAGAAAUAAAAUUCCAAU